rnacentral:misc_RNA from 1 species
GAUGAAGAACGCAGCGAAAUGCGAUAAGUAAUGUGAAUUGCAGAAUUCAGUGAAUCAUCGAAUCUUUGAACGCACAUUGCGCCCGCUAGUAUUCUGGCGGGCAUGCCUGUCCGAGCGCCAUUGCUGCCCUCAAGCACGGCUUGUGUGUUGGGCCUCCGCCCCCCGGCUCCCGGGGGGCGGGCCCGAAAGGCAGCGGCGGCACCGCGUCCGGUCCUCGAGCGUAUGGGGCUUCGUCACCCGCUCCGUAGGCCCGGCCGGCGCCCGCCGGCGACCCCCCUCAAUCUUUCCAGGUUGACCUCGGAUCAGGUAGGGAUACCCGCUGAACUUAAGCAUAUCAAUAAGCGGAGGA